UACGGGGGUGGCAAGCGUUGUUCGGAAUUACUGGGCGUAAAGGGCUCGUAGGCGGCCAACUAAGUCAGACGUGAAAUCCCUCGGCUUAACCGGGGAACUGCCUCUGAUACUGGAUGGCUUGAGAUUGGGAGAGGGAUGCGGAAUUCCAGGUGUAGCGGUGAAAUGCGUAGAUAUCUGGAGGAACACCGGUGGCGAAGGCGGCAUCCUGGACCAACACUGACGCUGAGGAGCGAAAGCCAGGGGAGCAAACGGG
rnacentral:rRNA from 1 species